rnacentral:rRNA from 1 species
GAUGAACGUUGGCGGUGUGCCUAAUACAUGCAAGUCGAACGGUGACGAUUUUUGUAGUAAUACGAAUGAAAUCACAGUGGCGAACGGGUGAGUAACGCGUUGGUGAUCUGCCUCGAAGUGUGGAAUAACGCUCCGAAAGGAGCGCUAAUACCGCAUGUGCUCUCGAUGUUUAGAAAGUUGAGAGUAAAGGAUUUAUUCGCUUCGAGAGGAGCCUGCGUCCCAUCAGCUGGUUGGUAGGGUAACGGCCUACCAAGGCAAUGACGGGUAGGGGACCUGAGAGGGUGGCCCCCCCACAAUGGAACUGAAACACGGUCCAUACACCUACGGGUGGCAGCAGUAGGGAAUAUUGCAAAUGGGCGAAAGCCUGAUGUAGCAACGCCGCGUGUGCGAUGAAGGUCUUCGGAUUGUAAAGCACUUUUUGGAGGGAUGAGGAAGGACAGUACCUCCAGAAUAAGCCUCGGCUAACUACGUG